rnacentral:tRNA from 2 species
CGCGGGGGGGAGCAGCUUGGUAGCUCGUCGGGCUCAUAACCCGAAGGUCGUCGGUUCAAAUCCGGCCCCCGCAACCA